UUACGACUAUAUCACGCCGAAACAACGGUUCCCGUACGAUCACCGAAGUUAAGCAAUGUCGAGUCAGGUCAGUUCCUAGAUGGGUAACCGCUUAGUAAUACCAGGUGAUGUAAG